rnacentral:rRNA from 1 species
UUGAACGCUGGCGGCAUGCCUUACACAUGCAAGUCGAACGGCAGCACGGGAGCAAUCCUGGUGGCGAGUGGCGAACGGGUGAGUAAUAUAUCGGAACGUGCCCGGUCGUGGGGGAUAACGUAGCGAAAGCUACGCUAAUACCGCAUACGAUCUAAGGAUGAAAGCGGGGGACUCGCAAGAGCCUCGCGCGAUUGGAGCGGCCGAUAUCAGAUUAGGUAGUUGGUGGGGUAAAGGCUCACCAAGCCAACGAUCUGUAGCUGGUCUGAGAGGACGACCAGCCACACUGGAACUGAGACACGGUCCAGACUCCUACGGGAGGCAGCAGUGGGGAAUUUUGGACAAUGGACGCAAGUCUGAUCCAGCCAUUCCGCGUGCAGGAUGAAGGCCCUCGGGUUGUAAACUGCUUUGUACGGAACGAAAAGGUUUCUAUUAAUACUAGGAGCUCAUGACGGUACCGUAAGAAUAAGCACCGGCUAACUACGUG